rnacentral:rRNA from 1 species
UACGUAGGGGGCGAGCGUUGUCCGGAUUUACUGGGCGUAAAGAGCGCGUAGGCGGCUGUUUAAGUGUGGCCUGAAAGCCCCCGGCUCAACCGGGGAUCCGGGUUGCAAACUGGGCAUCUUGAGGGGGAUAGAGGAGAGUGGAAUUCCUGGUGUAGCGGUGAAAUGCGUAGAGAUCAGGAAGAACACCGGUGGCGAAGGCGCUCUGCUAGGCCGUAACUGACACUGAGGGACGAAAGCUAGGGGAGCGAAUGGG